AAACAUACAUAUCACACACACACACACUAACACACCUCACUGUCAUCCCCAGCCAAUAAGGGCCUGAUGAGCUCAAGUAUCACUAGAACACAAGGACUUGUUCUCUGAGCGGCGGCUGCAGAUUCUUACAGACCUUCAUGCUCAUCGCCGGAGGAGCUUCUCUUCCCCUCUGAGGUGUGAAGUCUGCACUCACCAUGUCGGACACAGAGGAAGUGGACCAGUACGAGGGUAAGUGACCAUUCAGAAACAUUUCAAUUAUUUUGAUUUCUACGUUUCUUUCGUCCCUGCUGUCCAGGACCCUCACUCAUUCUUUCUCUUUGUGCGUCUCUCGUCUCCUUUGGUUUAUUCUGUUUCCUUUUCAGUCUCUUUGUAUUCUUUCUGUUCAUUUUUGAUUGUUUGGCCUCUUGGCAUCUUUUUCUAUCUUUUUUUGGGGGGGAGAUGGAGGUAGGGUUUUUUUUGGAUGUGUUUUGUCUUAUUGUUUUAAGUCUCCUUGUAGUCGUUCUAUCUGUGGUUUCGUUGUUGUAUGUGUCUUUGUGUGUCUGUCUUCAUUCUGAGUCUCUUUUUUCAUUUCAUCUUUUUUACCUAUUUUUCAUCUGUUCCUCUUUUUGGUGGUUUGGUUGCUGACACCAUGUUGAAAAUUAAAUCAAUCUAAUUUACAAAGCAUUUUUAUUUAUAGUCUUUUUUUUUUUUGAAAGAGACUUAGUGUGCGAAACAGAUUCUGGUGACUUUAUUAAAUUCACCAAGACAUGCUUGUUUUUCAACUUUUUCCUUUAAUAGAAAUAAGCUUCAGAUUCCCUGGUAACAUAUAUUGUGUUUAUUUUACUUGGGUAAAUUGACCCAGAUUUUUGUGAUGUGCUGAAAUGACUCCAUGUCCUGUUUGUUCUCUUCUCAUCUCUUUCUUUCCCAAACCGAAGACGAGGAAGGUAAAGACGACUGAAUCGAUUCCACAUUUCAGAUCUUUUUCCACUGUACUAAUGUGUCGGCUCCUGGUUUCACCUUUAAUUUGAAGUGUUUGACAUUGACACCUGCUAAUAAGACAGAAUAUAGAACAUUUACAAGGAUUUAAGUUGAGCUUCAAAAGGAUUUCCCUACAAAAUAAUCUCUUAAACCGCAUUUGGGUUUAAUUGUUGAUAAAAGUUACAUACAUGAGCGUCAGGUGAGUCAGCAUUGUCUCCUCGAUUAUCCACAGUUGCACUAGCAUUAGCAUUUUCACACAAUAUCAGUAAUUUUAUUCAGAUGCUAUUAUGUUGAGACUUUUCUCAUAUUUGUGCAGAAAGAAGCGCACAUUUGUGUAUUUGUAACGUUCUGCAGUGUAAAGCUAGCUCCAGUUGUCAAUCAAACACUUCCAGGUUAAGGGUUUCUUCUUCUAAACGAGUGAUGUGUCAAAUCACAUGGUUAAGAAAAAAAUGUGGCCGAGCUUUUUUGAGCGUUACAUUUAUUUUCUUGGCAUGUGACAUGUUUACACGGCCAUCUGUGGAUGUCACAUCAGUGCAACGGUCGUUGACCUUGUUCACACAACGGCCAUAUUUCAAACAGUGGAGCUGGAAACUGUCUGGAGGACAAACGUGGAGCUGCUGAUCCAAAUAUAGGAAAAUCUUCAGAGAGAAAACUGGCUCAGAAAAUUCAUGUCACAUUACAUUUAGAACCAAGCGGUUGCUUCGCUCGUUUGUUGAGUCUUUCUGUCCAUUAGUUUAUUCGGAUUCAUUUAUUAAUGCUUUAAAAAAGAUGGCAAAGCAAAAACAGUGCGACGAGGUAAAAAUGAGAUUAAAAAAAUAGGCACCACCGCAGAAUCACAUGUCUGAGUCAGAAUGAAUUAAAAGCAAGAUUAAAUAAACGUUAAAUAAAAACUACAUGUUCCUGUGUUUCUGCUACAGUAAAUUAAAAUUAAUUAGUUAGCAAAUUUUGCAUCUAGUUACAGAAGCUAGUGGAGCAGAUAACCAGUUUAGACUGUAAUCAUAUCUAUAAUAGUUUUCUACCAAAUCAACGACAUUCAACCAAUGCUAACCCACAGCAUCAUAUGAAGGUGAAUAUUAUCAAAACAUUGGAUAUAUUUCCCAAAACUGAUUAUCUGGAAAUACAGAGUAAGCAGUAUGACUUCAGGGAUUUAAAUGAGUCAGGUCCAGUUUUUCCAUCGGCUGUUCUUCAGGGAGUUUUCCAGCCCGACGGUUCAAUAUGGCUUUUGUGUGGAAGGUCCACUGACCUUCUCUCAUCAUCAUCUGUUUCUCUCUCUCCGUUCUCCAGCAGCGCUAUCCCUCGCUCAAACUUCCAUCCUCUGUGUAACUAAAGUAUUCUCUCACUUCUGGUUUCUAAUGGCUCUGUAAUGUCUGUGGUCUCCAUUAACGGCCUUCUCCGACACCCUCCCUCUCCCCCGGCGAUUUGGUGCAUGCUGCGU